GUGAAGAACGAGGGGGAACUGUUUAACUAAAACACAGCUCUAUGCUAAGUUGUAAAACAACGUAUAUGGGGUGACACCUGCCCAGUGCUGGAAGGUUAAAGAAGGAGGUUAGCAGCAAUGCGAAGCUUUCGACUGAAGCCCUAGUGAACGGCGGCCGUAACUAUAACGGUCCUAAGGUAGCGAAAUUCCUUGUCAGGUAAAUUCUGUCCCGCUUGAAUGGUGUAAUCAUCUCUUGACUGUCUCGACUGUAGACUCGGUGAAAUUCUGGUAUGGGUGAAUACGCCCAUUAGACGCAAUUGGAACGAAAGACCCCAUGAAGCUUUACUGUAGCCUGAUAUUGAAAAAAUUUGGUUCAUGUAGAGGAUAGGUAGGAGACUAUGAUGCAUAUUCGCUAGGAUAUGCGGAGUCACCCUUGGAAUACUACCCUUGAAUUACAUUUUUUCUAACUUACUUGCUUGAAUCAGCAAAAAGGACAUUGUCAGGUGGGCAGUUUGACUGGGGCGGUCGCCUCCCAAAAGGUAACGGAGGCGCGCAAAGGUACCCUCAGCACAGUUGGAUAUUGUGUUUCGAGUGCAAUGGCAUAAGGGUGCUUGACUGCGAGACUUACAAGUCGAGCAGGUAGGAAACUAGGUCAUAGUGAUCCGGUGGUUUCAGUAUGGAAUGGCCAUCGCUCAACGGAUAAAAGCUACUCUGGGGAUAACAGGCUGAUACUGCCCAAGAGUUCACAUCGACGGCAGUGUUUGGCACCUCGAUGUCGACUCAUCUCAUCCUGGAGCUGUAGCAGGUUCCAAGGGUUCGACUGUUCGCCGAUUAAAGAGAUACGUGAGUUGGGUUCAAACCGUCGUGAGACAGGUUGGUCCCUAUCUGUUGCGUCUGUAGGAAGAUUGUGGAGAGCUGCUCCUAGUACGAGAGGACCGGAGUGGACAUACCUCUAGUGCUCCAGUUGUCACGCCCGUGGCACCGCUGGGUAGCUACGUAUGGAAUUGAUAAACGCUGAAAGCAUCUAAGCGUGAAACAAACUCCGAAACUAAUCUUCCCACCCCUUUUGGGGAUAAGGAUCGUUGUAGAUGACAACGUUGAUAGGUUGGAAGUGUAAGCAUGGUGACAUGUUCAGCUGACCAAUACUAAUAAUCCGAAAGACUUCUUAUA
rnacentral:rRNA from 1 species